rnacentral:ncRNA from 1 species
GAGGAAGCCGGUGCGAGUCCGGCGCGGUCCCGCCACUGUCACCGAGGAGCGAACUCCGUCGACGGUCACUGUCCCGUCGGGAUGGGAAGACCGGAGCGAGCGAUGAUCCGGGAGCCAGGAGACUC